UUUUUUUUUUUUUUUUUUUUUUUUUUAGAGCCACACCCAUGGCAUAUGGCGUUUUCCAGGCUAGAGGUCACAUAGGAGCCUACACCACAGCCACAGCAACACUUGGUCCUUAACCCACUGAGUGGGGCCAGGGAUCAAACCUACGUCCUUAUGGUCAGAUUCGUUUCCACUGAGCCACAACAGGAAUUUUGUGGAUUCUUUUUUUGGAAACUGGUAAAAUAGUAUAAAGUUUACCUAAGCAAAUAAGUAUGCAAAACUUGCCAAAACAUGUAUUUAAAAGAAGCACAAUGAAGGGGCAAUUGCUUUCCCAAAUAUCAAAGUAUUCUACUAAAAAAAUAGUAAUUUACUUUAUAUCUUUUUUCUUUUCUUUUGGCCAUGCCUGAGGCAUGCGGAACCCAAGAAAUAGCAAAUAGACAAAAAUAAAUAAAUAAAUAAAUAAAAAAUAAAAGAAAAUACCAUGUGUGGGAGUUCCCUGGUGGCUUAGCAGUUAGAGGUUCAAUAUUGUCACUGUCGUGGCACAAGUUCAAUCACUGCCCUGGAAACUUCCACAUGCCACGAAUGUAGCCAAAAAAAUAAAUAAAUAAAAAUAAAAUACAGUAUGUGGAACUAUCGCAUACUAAUUUUUAAAAGUCAUUUAAACACAAUAAUGGGUUUACGAAUAGACCAUAUACAUACAGGAAUUAGUAUGUGAUGCAGGUAAUUCAAGUCAGUAGGCUAGUGAUGGUGAAGGAGUUCCCAUUGCAGCUCAAUGGAAACGAAUCUUACUAGCAUCCAUGAGGAUGCAGGUUCCAUCCCUGGCCUCACUCAGUAGGUUAAGAAUCUGGCAUUGCUGUGAGCUGUGGUAUAAGUCGCAGACGCGGCUCACUCAGAUCUGGCGUUGCUGUGGCUGUGGGUUAGGCCAGUAGCUGCAGCUCCUAUUCCACCUCUAGCCUAGGAGCUUCCAUAUGCCCCAGGCAUGGCCAUAAAAAGAAAAAGAAAUACGAACAGCCAACCUUCUCUGGAUAUAACUUCUCUACCACACUAAUACAUCUAAAAUGAUACCUCAUUGGAGUCCUGCUGUGGCUCAGUGGGUUAAGAACCUGACUGCAGCAGCUCGGGUUUUAUGGAGGUGGAUCCCCAGCCCUGCACAGUGGGUUAAAGGACCUAGCAUUGUCGCAUCAGAGAGUGUAGGUCCCAGCUGGGGCUCAGAUUCACUCCCUGGCCUGGGAACUUCCAUGUGCUGUGGGUGCAGCCAUAAAAAUUUUAAAAAAAAGAGAGAGAGACAUCAUUUGUCACCUAAGAUUGGCAAGGAUUUAAAAUAUCCAUUGUUGGCAAGGAUAUGGAGAAUAAGCACCAUAAUGCACAUUGGUGGAAGUGUAAAGUAAUAGAAUUUUUAACCUUUUUGGAACACAGUUUGCCAAUGUUUACCCUAAUUUAAAAUAUGAGUUCUAGCAAUUCUAUUUCUAGAAAUAUAUCCUAAAGAAUUACAUCAAUGUAAGAAUAUUCUCUGCAGCAUUGCUUGUAAUAGGAUCAAGCUAGAAACAAUUGAAAUGUCCAAUUAGAGGGGAAUAGUAAACACAUUGUGAUACAUGUAUACAGAGGAUUGCUACUGUAUUGAUGACCCAUCAUUAGGUAACAAAACUACCCCCAAAAACUUAGAGGCUUAAAACAAAGGUAAACAUGUAUCAUAUCUGUGCAAUAAAUAUGUGGGAGUGGCAUGGGUGGUUCUGGCUCAGCCUCUCUCAUGAGGUUGCAGGCAGCUACAGGCUGACCUAGAGCUGGCAGGUCUUCCUCCCAGGUAACUCACUCAGAGGGCAGACUGGCUGUUGGCCAGAAGCCCAUUGCUGCCCAUGUGGCCUUCUUGACAGACUGCGUGAGCAUCCUACCAAUAUGGUGGCUGGUGUCCCCAAAAAUCAGCAAUCCAAGAGAGGCUAAGGCUAAAACUGGGAUGUCUUUUAGGACCUGGCCUCAGAAGUCCCACAAUGUCACUGCCACAGUACCCUAUGGAUCACACAGAACAGCUGUGAUUCAGCAAGGGGGGAGUAUUUAAAUACCAAGCAGCAAGGAUCAUUUAAGCUGAAAUUUAAAGGUGGAAUAGUAAUUAAGUCAGGCAGGGAGAUCACUUAUAACAACAUUGAAAGAAAUUUAUGAACAGAAAGUACAGAUGAGGCUGGAGAGGUAAAUGGAGCCUGAUUCAUGGCAGUACUUUCAAGCUGCAUUAAGGAGCUUGAUUUUUAUAUAAAGCCGGUAAGCCUCCAAAAGAUUUAUAUUUUAGUAAGAUCAGUCUGGUUAUAUAUGGUGGAUGGUUUGAGUGAACAAGGCCAGGGGGCAGGAGUGGAGGUAAGGCCAGGCCAUGAAAUGAUCCAGACCAAAAAAAAAAAAAAAAAAAAA
ensembl:lncRNA